CAGAAAAUAGUUUAUAAAAAUUAUAAUUUUGGAGAUUAUAGAUAGGAAACUUUCCUUUUUCUGA
rnacentral:tRNA from 1 species